CCUCAGAAAAGAUGGCUGCGUCCUAGGCUCUAUUCAUUUUAGAAAAAGUCACUGAAUAGCUUGAAUGUCAACCUGGUGUCAGUAACCUGGAUUGUUCCCCCUAGAAACACUCUGUCCUCUGUUCCUGAGGGUCCCUUGGCGGCUCCACUUGCCCAUAGUUAAUAUGGCCCCGGUUGCUUCUCAGGGCGGGCGGCGGCGAGUGAUCCAGAAGUGGAAAAAGAUGGGGUCAGGGAACCUGGUGGCCCCGCGCUGCCGCCUCAAGUUCUGCAAGAAGGAGUUCAACGUCGUCUUAGAAAAGAGAAAGCGGAAACCCGGCUGUUAGCCAAAGGCAGAUACCCCUUCAGUGACUGCAGGUCUUCAGCCUUUCCCAGCGCCUCACACUGCCUCCUCCAGGUGUGUGCCAGAAAAGCUACGUGAACACUUUGAAUAUGCUGACCCCUGCUGACCAUAUGAAAAGGAGCUGGAUUUUAAGUGUAUUAGGUAUGAUUGAGUAAAAUAUUAGGUGCAUUAAUGGA